GUGAAAAAUCUCUUCUGUACUUUUAUAAAAGAAAGCAAAAUUGGGCCUCCCCAGUUACCUGUACCCUGAAAGGAGACGCAGCUGUUGGAGAGGGUGUGGUCCGACACUUUUUUAGCACACUGCUGGGAAAGGUUCAGUUUGGUUUCAAUAUGAAUAUUGGAAAUGUAGCACGGACAUUAUUGUUUGAAGGAGAACCUGACCACCUGAUCCCAAGCA